AUCUUGCUCUGUUCUCUUUGACCUUCCUGCUCUUCCCUUUGCAGGUGCUCUUUUUGAAGGUGUCUCAAAGUUACCACCGCUGCUGUAACGAGGCUGCCUGAAGUCAUCCACAGGCGAAGUUAAUGGAAGCUCCUGAACCACUUCAGGAACCCUAAUAAAAACAGGCAUCAUUGUUCAGUACACUACAGCCCUUUGCCAGUGCACUGUAAUCACAGAGCACAGCCAUAAUAAACACCAGCAGACAUCUGCACGCAGGUGCACUCACGCGAGGACUUCAGAUGUUCAACACUGAGCAGAUGCCUCGUUUUCUGCAUUCAAUUUGACAGCAGUUCAGAGUCCUCUAAUACACACAAGUAGUAGGUUCCAAUUUAAAGGGGAGUAGCCAUUUUUAUACCUUCUAAGUACAAUGGAUC
rnacentral:lncRNA from 1 species